AACUCAGCCCAUCUGCACCGUUGGCUCCAUUUGUUGCCAAGCAAUCACAACCGUUUAUUUUCUCCAGAUUCCACUAUAUAAAACGAUCAUAACAUUUUUCCCUCGUUCAUUCCAUCGUUGCCGCGUAAAUCGGAAUCGGCGCAUUCGCUUUAACCUAGCAAAUUUCUCCGUCCAAACCGUCCUUUGAUUCAGUCAAAGGCAAAUUUUCGGUUCAUAUCGCAUGGAUCGAACCUUGAUCUGGUUUUUAGGAUGGUUAAUUGGAGAUUCUGUCGAUGUUUCGGUCUCCGUUUUGAUGGAGGCCAGUGGAAUUGCUACAUCUGCAAGGAACCGUUAUUCAAUCUGGUCGUGAAUCUGAUAAGAUGCGCGAGUUUUUGUUUCGAAACAGAGCAAUUGAAGCGAGAUUGGUUGUAUAAUUUUGGUUGUAUUCAAUCCUUUAGGAGAUUACCUGUUAUAUCGAUUGUGGAUUUGAUUGGUUGAGUUGAAGGUUAUGGUUGAGAGUAGGGGUGUAAAUGGGCUGGGCUGGGCUUUGGCCAUCCUGGCCCAAGCUUACGUAAAAAAAAAUUCAGCCUAUCUGACCUACUGGCCGAUUAAAGGCUUUAUUUGUAGGCCAAGCCCGGCCCAUUUUCAAAAA